AUUGAACGCUGGCGGCAGGCCUAACACAUGCAAGUCGAACGAGUGGCGGACGGGUGAGUAAUUUCUGGGAAACUGCCUGAUGGAGGGGGAUAACUACUGGAAACGGUAGCUAAUACCGCAUACCAUCGGAUGUGCCCAGAUGGGAUUAGCUAUUAGGUGGGGUAAAGGCUCACCUAGGCGACGAUCCCUAGCUGGUCUGAGAGGAUGACCAGCGACACUGGAACGGAGACACGGUCCAGACUCCUACGGGAGGCAGCAGUGGGGAAUAUUGCACAAUGGGCGCAAGCCUGAUGCAGCAAUGCAGCGUGAAUGAAGAAGGCCUUCGGGUUGUAAAGUACUUUCAGCGGGGAAGCGUUACCCAAAGAAGAAGCAACGACUAACUCCGUGCCAGCCGCCGCGGUAAUAC
rnacentral:rRNA from 1 species